rnacentral:rRNA from 1 species
AUUGAACGCUGGCGGCAGGCCUAACACAUGCAAGUCGAGCGAGCGGCGGAAGGGGGAGUAAUGUCUGGGAAAACGCCUGAGGGAGGGGGAUAACUACUGGAAACGGUAGAUAAUACUGCAUACCAUCAGAUGUGCGCAGAUGGGAUUAGCUAGUAGGUGGGGUAACGGCUCACCUAGGCGCCGAUCCCUAUCUUGUCUGAGAGGGUGAGCAGCCACACUGGAACUGUGACCCGGUCCAGACUCCUACGGGAGGCAGCAGUGGGGAAUAUUGCACAAUUGGCGCAAGCCUGAUGCAGCCAUGCCGCGUGUGUGAAGAAGGCCUUCGGGUUGUAAAGCACUUUCAGCGGGGAGGCGUUACCCGCAGAAGAAGCACCGGCUAACUCCGUGCCAGCAGCCGCGGUAAUAC